GGGUGUGUAUUUGUUUGUGCCCUGCAAAGGCGCAUGUGAUCUUCGGUGGUCCACAUCUU
rnacentral:tRNA from 1 species